GAGGGAAAGGUGAAAAGCACCCCGGAAGGGGAGUGAAACAGUUCCUGAAACCGUGUGCCUACAAGUAGUUAGAGCCCGUUAAUGGGUGAUAGCGUGCCUUUUGUAGAAUGAACCGGCGAGUUACGAUUUGUUGCAAGGUUAAGCGGAAAAAGCGGAGCCGUAGCGAAAGCGAGUCUGAAUAGGGCGCAUAAGUAACAGGUCGUAGACCCGAAACCAGGUGAUCUACCCAUGUCCAGGAUGAAGGUAAGGUAAUACUUACUGGAGGUCCGAACCCACGCACGUUGAAAAGUGCGGGGAUGAGGUGUGGGUAGCGGAGAAAUUCCAAUCGAACUUGGAGAUAGCUGGUUCUCUCCGAAAUAGCUUUAGGGCUAGCCUCGAGGUAAAGAGUCAUGGAGGUAGAGCACUGUUUGGACUAGGGGCCCUUCUCGGGUUACCGAAUUCAGAUAAACUCCGAAUGCCAUGUACUUAUACUCGGGAGUCAGACUGCGAGUGAUAAGAUCCGUAGUCGAAAGGGAAACAGCCCAGACCACCAGUUAAGGUCCCCAAAUAUAUGUUAAGUGGAAAAGGAUGUGGGGUUGCUUAGACAACCAGGAUGUUGGCUUAGAAGCAGCCACCAUUGAAAGAGUGCGUAAUAGCUCACUGGUCGAGUGACCCCGCGCCGAAAAUGUACCGGGGCUAAACAUAUUACCGAAACUGUGGAUGAACCUCUUUAGAGGUUCGUGGUAGGAGAGCGUUCUAAGGGCGGUGAAGUCAGACCGGAAGGACUGGUGGAGCGCUUAGAAGUGAGAAUGCCGGUAUGAGUAGCGAAAGAAGGGUGAGAAUCCCUUCCACCGAAUAUCUAAGGUUUCCUGAGGAAGGCUCGUCCGCUCAGGGUUAGUCGGGACCUAAGCCGAGGCCGAUAGGCGUAGGCGAUGGACAACAGGUAGAGAUUCCUGUACCAGUGCUAAUUGUUUAACCGA
rnacentral:rRNA from 1 species